GACGAACGCUGGCGGCGUGCUUAACACAUGCAAGUCGAACGAUGAAGAAGAGCUUGCUCUUCGGAUUAGUGGCGAACGGGUGAGUAACACGUGACUAACCUGCCCCUUUCUCUGGGAUAACGCUCCGAAAGGAGUGCUAAUACCGGAUACUCACAUCGAGGCACAUGCCUUGAUGUGGAAAGUUUUUCGGAAAGGGAUGGAGUCGCGGCCUAUCAGCUUGUUGGUGAGGUAACGGCUCACCAAGGCGACGACGGGUAGCCGGCCUGAGAGGGCGACCGGCCACACUGGGACUGAGACACGGCCCAGACUCCUACGGGAGGCAGCAGUGGGGAAUAUUGCACAAUGGGCGAAAGCCUGAUGCAGCGACGCCGCGUGAGGGAUGAAGGUCUUCGGAUUGUAAACCUCUUUCAGUAGGGACGAAGCGAAAGUGACGGUACCUAAAGAAGAAGCACCGGCUAACUACGUGCCAGCCGCCGCAGUAA
rnacentral:rRNA from 1 species